AAUCCUAACCUGUAUCUUAGGCUGAUUUUGGUCCUUGGGAGGUAUCAGGAGGAACCACAAAAUUAUGUACCUUUUUUGUGGUAUGUACCUCCUAGGAGGCUAGGGCCGUUAAAAGACUUAUUAUAGUCUUAAUUGAUUUUAUUGGAAAGGUGAGUGGAUAAAACUGAACAGGUUUGCAGCAGCGGAGUAAAAUUAGUAUUUUUAUCAUUAUUAGGUCCG
rnacentral:lncRNA from 1 species